GUGCCACCCCGGGUCCUCCUACCGUCUCUAUCAUGUACAAAAUCACUCUUGGGAUGCUGCUUCCCAUCGAUGGAUUCUGUUUUCCACUCCUCUUGGCAUCUAAGUGUGGCCUUGUGAUUGGUUCUCACCAAUGGGAUGGGAUGGAAGCGAUACAGGCCUCUUCCGAGCCAAUGCUCUUAAGAAACAUGUAUGUUGGCCAGGCACGGUGGCUCACGCCUAUAAUCACAGCACUUUGGGAGGCCGAGACGGGAGGAUCAGCUGAGUCCAGGAGUUCGAGACCAGCCUGGCCAACAUGGCGAAACUCCAUCUCUACUAAAAGUACAAAAAUUAGCCAGGCGUGGUGGGCGCUUAUAAUCCCAGCUACUCCGGAGGCUGAGGCAGGAGAAUUGCUUGAACCUAGGAGGCAAAGGUUGCAGUGAGCCGAGAUCCCACCACUGCACUUCAGUAUGGGCAAAAGAGUGAGACUCCAUCUCAAAAAAAAAAAAGAAACAUCUGCCUGCUUCCUGCUCUUUCAAGGCCCUAAAGAAAGAGGGGAGCCCCAAGAAACCUGGGUCCCUGAAUGACCACCUUGUGGAAAUACAUCCUGUCACCUAACAUCUAUCCUAGAUUGCUACAUGAUCAAGAAAUACACAUCUAACUUGUACACCCAAUGCUCAUAGCAGCAUUAUUCACAAUAGCCAAGAGGUGGAAGCAACCCAGUGUCCAUUGACAGAUGAGCGAAUAAACAAAAUGUGGCACAUAAAUGCAAUGGAAUAGACCAGACGCGGUGGCUCACAUCUGUAAUCCCAGCACUUUGGGAGGCCAAGGCGGGCGAAUCACCUGAGGUCAAGAGUUUGAAACCAGCCUGGCCAACAUAGUGAAACCCUGUCUCUACUAAAAAUACAAAAAAUUAGCCAGGCG
rnacentral:lncRNA from 1 species